UUGUGUGGGUUGUUGCUGACCUCCUCGGAGUGUAUGUGCACGCCUGUUCACUGUUUCAUUCUCCCCUUCCACCUGUGCACUCUCUGUAGGUUCGAGCUUUGUCUUUUUGGUGCAGCUACUGCGUCCAGCAGUGAGGGAUUGCAACUACCUGCUUUCCUCGGACAGGCUCAAACCUAUGUCUUUAUCAAACCCAUAAGUGUGAUAGAAUGCUGUAUCUUGGGAUCUAUGUAGACCCAUAAAAACCAUAUACAACUUUCAACAACGGAUCUCUUGGCUCUCGCAUCGAUGAAGAACGCAGCGAAAUGCGAUAAGUAAUGUGAAUUGCAGAAUUCAGUGAAUCAUCGAAUCUUUGAACGCACCUUGCGCUCCUUGGUAUUCCGAGGAGCAUGCCUGUUUGAGUGUCAUUAAAUCCCUCAACAUCAAAAUCACUCUUGUGUUUGAUGUUGGAUUGUGGGAGCUUGCUGGCUGUCCAGGUCAGCUCUUCUAAAAUGUAUUAGCUUGGAUGAACGCUAUCCUCAGCUCGGUAAUGAUAGUUGUCUUUACCAGUGGGCAGGAGCAGCAGCACAUAUGUCCGGCUUUUCAAUCCUUGUCUGCAUCCUCUUUGAGGCAGAC
rnacentral:rRNA from 1 species